AACGCAUCAGAACUGCGCAACAGUUCGGGAGUUCAUUUGAGUUCUUUUAUUAUUUUAUCAGCAAAUUUCUCCGCGUUUCAGUCCUCUCAGUGUUGAAUUACAGUUAACCGAAGAUCCCACAGUGAAAAUCUUGACAGUCCUCAGUUCUGUCACCUGUGUCGAAGUCCUUAAUAGUUAACGGCUAACGUUCAGAACCGACAUUUUGCCGCGGAGCAGAGCCGUCUCCGUCAGGAAAUCGAUAAACUGAAAGCCAACGAAACCAGGAUGAACACAAAAUUGGAUAAGCAAGCCCGGCAAUGGGAGCUGGAUGCCGUGAACACCCCUUUUAGGUGGGCCGUGGAGAUGUUCCGAUACCUGGAAACUCGGGAUGAGCGGCUGGAGAAACAUCUUGAUUCAAAGAUGAGUGGCCACACGGCGGAGGUCAAGACUAUGAUGAAAGAUAUGAACGCCAAACUUGACAAACUGUUGUCUUACAAUAAGUGACACUGUUGUUCUGUAUUAAUGUUGAAGUACUCUGACAUAUGUGGACUGUCCAAUUCAAUGUACGGUAUGAUCUAAAAAGAAU